rnacentral:rRNA from 1 species
UACAGAGGGUGCAAGCGUUGUUCGGAAUUAUUGGGCGUAAAGGGUGCGUAGGCGGUGCGGUAAGUCCGUUGUGAAAGUCAAAGGCUCAACCUUUGAAAGCCGAUGGAUACUGCAGGGCUAGAGUCCGGAAGAGGCGAGUGGAAUUCCUGGUGUAGCGGUGGAAUGCGCAGAUAUCAGGAAGAACACCCGUGGCGAAGGCGGCUCUCUGGGACGGUACUGACGCUGAGACGCGAAAGCGUGGGGAGCGAACAGG